rnacentral:tRNA from 1 species
GGUGGCUCAGUGAUAGAGUACUUGCCUUGCAUGCAUGAAGCCCUGGGUUUGAUUCCUCAGCACCA